UACCUACUAGUGGGAAGAGCAUAUUUAUAGCACGCUUCCGUGUCGCCGCCGCCGGCGGGCAGGGACUACAAGUCCCGGCCGGCAGAAGGGCAGGAGUGGGGGCGGGAGAGGGCGGUGGAUGAGGCCUUCUGGGAACUGUAGUAUUGUCCGCUCCGCGUUCGCAGCAGGUUACCAACGCUUGUCUUCCUGCCCUGCCUGCCCUCUGGUGGAGGCCAGAUCAAGCAGGGGAACAGUGAAAAAGAUGGAGAGUUGGUGCAGCCAAGCAGAUGCAUCCUCCCUAGACUUUGAUUCAGGAGCUGGUGACUCAAAGCAGCAGGGAUGACGCAGAGUCCGUUCUGGCCAGGGCACAGAGGCAACGGCAGCUGCAUCCGGUUUCCAGUGGCACCAGGGACAGCUGUUCUGUGGCAUUGUGCAGUGUCCAGCAUCCAAGGACUUGGCAGUGCGAGCCGUGGGUCAGUGCUUGGCAGCUGCCACAGUGACUUCACAGGAGUUGUUCUGCAGAGCACUUUGGGAGUGGUUCUUGCCAAGUGGUUUGUCUUCCCACCUUUACUUCUUAAAUUGGCUUUAAAGUUGACAACUCAUUGGAACAAAUACUAAUAAUACUAAUAACUAAAUUAUACAUUGUUUUUAUUAUGUGCCAGGAAAAUUUCAAAGUGCUUUAUGUACAUUGAUUCAUUUAAUGUUUAUAACAACCUAUGACAUAUACACUAGUAUUAUUCUCAUUUUACAGAUGAUAUACCAAGUUACAGAGAGGUUAGGUUACUUGCUCAAGGUCACACAACUGUAAAUGACUGUUCUGAAACCUAAACCUAGUCAGUCUGUCCUAGUUCUGAAGAGCUCUGACUGAUACAAGUUUUAUUACCUAAUUUUUUCAUAUAACAAAAUUUCAUGAGCAUUUCCAUGUUAAGUAUUUAUAUAAAUAUUUAACGUAGCUGCAUAGUCAGUGUUCAGUUAUAAGGAUGAUUGGUGGUUUAUUUAAUCAACUUGCUAUUCCUGAACAUUAACAAUAUCCUAGUGAUGAAACUUACUAUUUUUAAAAAAAUAUCCAUGACUAUUUCCUUGGGAUAAAGUCCUAGAAUUGGAAUGCUUGAGUUAUACCGAUUGCCUUCCAGAAAGAUUAUUGCAGCAGUGUAUGGGAGCAUUCUGUUUCCCUGAGUCCUUAUUAGCAUUGAAUGUUGUCAUUAAAAGUUUUUUUUCUUUGUGGUACUGAAAAUUACAGUUUUCUUUUAAACCUGAAAUUCUUUUUUUUAUACAAUCACAUGAGCAACAUUGUGAUUACUAGAUUCCC